rnacentral:rRNA from 1 species
GGGGAAUUUUGGACAAUGGGCGCAAGCCUGAUCCAGCAAUGCCGCGUGCAGGAUGAAGGCCUUCGGGUUGUAAACUGCUUUUGUACGGAACGAACAGCCUCUCUCUAAUACAGGGGGGUGAUGACGGUACCGUAAGAAUAAGCCACGGCUAACUACGUGCCAGCAGCCGCGGUAAUACGUAGGGUGCAAGCGUUAAUCGGAAUUACUGGGUGUAAAGGAUGCGUAGGCGGAUAUGUAAGUCAGAUGUGAAACCCCCGGGCUUAACCCGGGGCAUGCAUUUGAGACUGCAUAUCUAGAGUGCAGGAGAGGAAAGCGGAAUUCCUAGUGUAGCGGUGAAAUGCGUAGAUAUUAGGAAGAACACCAGUGGCGAAGGCGGCUUUCUGGACUGUAACUGACGCUGAUGCAUGAAAGCGUGGGGAGCAAACA